AAUCAACGCUGGCGGCGUGCCUCAGACAUGCAAGUCGAACGCGAAAGUCCCCUUCGGGGGACGAAGUAGAGUGGCGCACGGGUGAGUAACACGUAGGUAAUCUACCUUCGGAUGGGGAAGUAACAACCGGAACGGUUGCUAAUACCGCAUAAUGCAGCGGCACCUAAUGGUGACAGUUGUUAAAGCGGGGGAUCGUAAGACCUCGCGUCUGAAGAGGAGCCUGCGGCGGAUUAGCUAGNGGUUAAGGUAAUGGCUUACCAAGGCUACGAUCCGUAACCGGCCUGUAGAGGGGCGGUCGGUCACACUGACACUGACAUACGGGUCAGACUCCUAC
rnacentral:rRNA from 1 species